GCCCAGUAGCGUAGUGGUAUCGCGUCGACGUAGCGCGUCGACAUUUGUAGUUACCCGUAACUCCAGUUAUCGAUGCAGCAACUUCUGAGAGCCUUGUUCGAAUCAAGGACUGGGCA